rnacentral:lncRNA from 1 species
UCUAGACAAGUCCUCCAUCACCCCUCCCCUCUUUCCCCUUUCCUCUUCUCCUAGUAGCUCAGAUCCUCCAUGAUUUUCACCUUCUCUUUCAAACUCAGUUGAAGGGCAUUUUAUAUUUGAUUUUCAUUUGUAAGUUUCUCUAUAUUCAAGCAAUUUGUUAGUUCAUAUUUCUAUCUUUUUCUUUGUAUGUAUUUGUUUGUUUUAAAGGUUGAUUUUCAUUAGAUUUUUUUUCGAAAAUUUUGAGGUUUUGUUAGUGUAAUAUGAUUUUGUAGUGGGUUAUAUGACUUUAAGGGACCCCAAUAACAUAUUUUUUGAAUUCUAGUUGCUUCUAGGAUUUAUUCAUAAGAUUUUUGUUUUGUUUGAAAUUAAUAUUUUUUUCGUCAAUUGUCUUGGGUAUUAAUUUUGUGAGUGGUCCGUUGUUAUAUAUCAGGGGUGUGUAAGAGUCUUCAAACUUUGUUUCCUUAAAAUUUUUUAGGGCUUUGAAUUAUUAUUUUUACUUUUUAAAAUUGAAAUCCUUUCCUAGUACGUACAAAUUCACUGGCGAUGUUCUUUUCUUAUCACUAUACUGGUAAGUAAAUGACUUUAAUGAUAAUGAUACUUCAAUUUCGCUAUGAAGAUUGUUUUGUAUCUGACCCUUAUAUAAGGUAUGUCAAUGCAAUCAUUAGCUUUGAAAAAUAAUAAUAAUAUAGAUAUAAAUGUUGCAUAUCGUGUUGUUUCAUAAAUUGACAGUUAAAAUUGGUGUUGAAAACAUUGAAACAUUUGGAUGUAGAGUCGAUAAGGGUAGUUAUUACAUGUUAAAUAUUGAUUCUGAUGAUUUAAAAUUUCUAAAUAGUUUGACUGUUAAGACUUUGUUGAUUUAUUUGGGAUAAGCCAAAUUAGUAUACCUUUAGUUGUUGAGGAUAACCUGUAAUGCCUAGCACUAGUGCUGAUAAGUCCUCCACUCCAAAAAAGGAAGAGUUGGUGUAUCAUCCUUCCCGCAAAAAGAUCGGGCUAAUAUGGUUUCUUCUCAACCAUUUGAGAAAAAUAAAAAUAUCAAUUUAAAUGAUAAUCAAUCACCAAAAUUGAAGACCACCUUCCUAGAGUAAAUGUAGAGCUUCAUUUUGAUAUUGAUUCAGUCUAUCAUGAUGUUGUUAAAAAAAAUUGAUAAUUUCAGUAAUUUGAAGAAGUAGUUGCUUCAAGCUAGAUAGUCUAACAUUCGUGUAAGAGUGAAAUAGAAGGUUGAUAGAGUAAAUCUUGAUGAGAUACCAUUUGAUCCCUACAGUAAAUGUAAAGCUUUAUUUUGAUAUUGAUUCACUCUAUCAUGAUGUUGUUAAAAAAAUUGAUAAUUUCAGUAGUUUGAAGAAGUAGUUGCUUCAAGCUAGAUAGUCUAACAUUCGUGUAAGAGUGAAAGAGAAGGUUGAUAGAGUAAAUCUUGAUGAGAUACCAUUUGAUCCUAUAGUUGGAUUUGAAGACCUUUCUGAGGACACAUGGAGAAGAUUUGAAGGCAAUUCGGGAAGCGAUGACCCUUAUUAUGAUAGCUCAGAUUCUGACAGUAUUAGCGAAGAAAAAGGGGAUCUUAUUGAGAAAGAUGAAGUGGUAGAUCCGUUACCUAGGAAUACAAGUAUUGAGAUCUAUUUUGACCCAAUUGCUUGAAAAAUUUUAUUUUCAAUUUUAUAUAAUUUUUUGAUUCAUAUUGAGUUUAGGGAGACACUGUAAGUUUACUCUAUUAAAAAAGGUGUGAAUAUUAGGUUGAAAUCUAAUAACAAGAAAAUGAUAAGGGUAAAGUGUAAAAAAAAAUGAAUUGUCCGUGUCUUAUUCUUGAGAGUAUUGAUGAUAACACGGAAAACUUUAUUGUGAAGACAUAUUUAUCUUUCUACAGUUGUUAUAUUAGAAUAAUAAAUAAAUUCUAUAUCAAAUAUGGAUUAGUAAAAUUUACAAGAAAAGGAUUAUGGGUGAACCUAUCAUCAAACUACAUUAUAUUCAAUCUUUGUUAAGAAAGUAGUAAGGUUUGUAUGCCGUAAGACAAUUUGUAGAAAGGCAAAAAAGAGAAUUAUGCAUGCACAUUUGGAUGAUUUUUAGAGAGGAAUUUUCUAGGGAGUAUGACUAUGCUGAAGAGUUAAAUACCACAAAUUCAAAAAUUACUAUAUCUAUUAGGAUAUCCAAGAGACAAAUUUCAAGAAAAAGAAUUAUUUAUGGACAUCUGUAUUUUGUCUUGAUUUCUUAAAAAAAUGGAUGAAAAGAAUUGUGUAGAAGAAUUAAUUUAGAUGGUGUAUUUCUUAAGAGUGUAUGCACUGUUAUCUUGCAUUUUCAAAGAUGAAAAUAAUCAGAUAUAUCGUAUAGUAUGAGCAGUAGUUGAUAAAGAGACUAAGGACACACGACCUUCGUUUCUCAAGUGCAUCAAACAUGAUUUGGAGCUUACAGAAACUGAAGGUUAAGGACUAAUAUUGAAAUAUGAUAUGUCGAAGAUACUACUAAAUUAUUUGUUAAAUUUAUUUUUCAACUUUCUAUAAUAAUAGAUAUUUAACAAUUUUGUAUGUCUAAUGUUCUUUAUUUGACAUCCAUUUUCAAGUAGCACUUAUUGAAUUAUUUUCAAAUAUUGCAAUUAGAUGGUGUGCUAUGGAUAUACAGACAAACGGAAAGAAAGAAUGGUUGAGUGAAAAAAGGAUAAUUUUUUUUUGCCAUAUUACAGGACAUCAUUUAAAGUGCUUUACAUGUAUAGGACAAGACAUUGUGAAAUAUAUGUUGAAGUAUUACAAAAAAUCAUGAUCUAGAGCAUUUUUUAAAGAAAAGAGUUAGUGUGAUGUGGUUAAAAACAACAUGUGUAAGACUUUCAAUCGUUGAAUUUUGAGUGCAAGAUCAAAUCAAUCAUCUCUAUGUUAGAGGAAUUAAGAGUCAAAAUCAUGAAAAUAGUGAAUCAAAUGUAAUAAUUUCUAAAAAAAAGUAAUUGUUUUUUGAUAUAUCACCAAUGGUUAUGAAAGUUCUUAGAUGAAAUGCUAAAAUUAUAGAUAAUUUGAGAUCAAGUUUAAUGGUGAUUUCGAAUUUGAGAUUCAUGCUCCACUAUAUAAACAUGUUGUUGAGCUAAAAGAGAGGUGUGUAGUUGUAGAUCAUGACAAUUAAGAAAAUUUCUGGUACCCAUGAACUAACAUAAAUUCACUAUAAGGAUUGAAUUGCUGAGUCAUUUGUUUAUCAUUGGUAUGAGAAAGAAAUAUACUUGAAAGCAUAUUAUAUGUUUAUUCAACCUAUAACAAACACAAAAAUGUAGUAGAAAAGCCCAAGACCAACCAUUUAAAAUUAUUAUCAUACCAGAAAGAUCGAAUAAAAAUAGGAGAAAAGAUAAUGAUGAACCUAUUAAGAAGUUUGAAAAGGCUAUAAUGAAAGGAAGACAAAUAAAAUAUUUUAUGUAAGACUUUUGAACGUAACAAGAAAGAAUACUCAACUUUGAUAAUUUGGGUGUAAGUGUCUUUCUGUGACUGGAUUUCAUUCUUUCUAGUUGUACCUUUGACUUUUAAAUAUGUUUGAAAAAAUAUGUUGGAUCCUUAACUAAUGAAACUUGUUGAAGUGAUAAAAACAUUCACUACAUCUGAUUUUACAAAUGUUGCAACUGAAAGUCAAUCAAGUACUAAUGCAGGUCCAAGUGUGACAUCUACCAUAGUAGGUUUAAGGCUUACAACAACUUCAACAAUUGAUGAAAGGCUUACUAGUGCUAUAUCAAGUGGUGUAAGGCUACUUAAAUAUAUGGUAGACGUCCAAUUAGUGUUGUGUUAUACCGAACACAACUCCAUUAGAUACUAAACAAUCAAUUUCUAGUGCACUUGGCCUAUCAAGAAAUAGUAACAAAACUUUGAGAAGUGGUGUGAUUCCUGAAUAUAAGAGAUCAAGAUAAAAAAAAUGCAAAAACAAUUAAUUAUGAUGUCUUAUUUGGAUCAAGUGGCAGUGUAAUUGAGAGAAUAUUUAUUAUAUCAUUUGAACAUAUUUAAUUGACAUCAAAUCAUCUUUUAGUGGAGAUUUUUUAAAUCAUUUUCUCGGUCUAAAAAUACCGAUAAAGUGUUGCAUAGUGAUACAUUUACAAAUUCAACUCCUACCAAUAUUAGUCUUGGUUACAAACCAAUGGACUAAGGUGGAAGGAAAGAACUACAGUUACUCAAACAGAGCUACGAGAGGAGAUUUACAGAAGCACUCAAUCUAUAAUAGACACACAUGUUACACCAAGUGCUCAAUGCACACAUUAGAUUACUCUUUGUUAAACUUAUGACUCGAUUUCAAUUGACAUUUUUAGCUUAUUAUAGUCAUCCAAACUAUUUUGGUUCUACCUUAUUGUUACGAAGAUUUUGUUUUUGUUUAUGAAUUUGUGUUUGAAUGCCUAAUACAAUCAAUUAUUGCCUUUGUUAAGUUGUUAUUGUGAAGACUAAUGACUUGAUCCCAACUAUUAAAUUUCAUUGUUAAGUUGAUAUUCAAAUUUGUGUGAAGAGGUUCUUCUGAAGCAAAUAUAGUCAAUUAUUGAAGCUAAUGCCUUUGUUAUGUCAUUUCAUUAUCAAAUAACAGCUAAUACAAAUCAAUACAUCAUAAAAAUGACAGCUAGAAAACAAAUUACAACAAUAACAAUAAUAGUGAUUUCUAGGGGUAUUCAUGGUUUGGUUUGAAUUAAUUAUUGGAUAAAAUAAAAUCAGAAUCAAAUCAAUCUAGUCGGCUUUUUAAAUUUCUAAAAUCAAACCAAACAAAAAACAUAAUCAUUGGUUUGGUUAUUCUUGAUUUGCUUCAGGUUUUCUAUUUUUUUGGUAUGAGAAAAAUAAUUUUUUAAGGAUAUACGUAUCUCGAUAGACACAAACACCUAAGACAUGAAUAAUUCAAAUGCAAGCUACUGUUUGUUCAAUUAAACAAUACUAAAAUUAUUAUUACACGAACAAAAUGAUUCAAUUAAGAAAAAAUGUUACUAUCUUAUGUGAGGUUGGGUAGAUAAAUCUUAUAUUCUAGGUUUUUUUUAUGAUCCUCACAAAUAUAGGGACUCGGUCCUUAGGAGAGUGCUAUCGUCCGUAUUCAUCCUAGGGUACAACUGUAAAGUUGUCAUGUCAGAUGGAAGGUGAAAGUGCAGAUAUUGCACCAAUAAGAAGAGUUGACGAGAUUGUUUGUUUCAGUGGCUCACAAAUGCAGGGACCUGGUCACUGGCAGAGCUCUCUCCAUCUGAUACAUAAUGGUGUACAGCUGUAAAGUUGUCCUGUCAAUGGUAGGUGAGACGCCAGUGUACUGGACUAAUCAGAAUGAAAGAGGUUGUUUGUCCAACAGUUAAUAACUAUUUAUGGUUGAUAUUUUCAACAUGACAAACACCAUGUUAAAGUCAUUCAUUCAAAGGAAAAAGUCAGCCAAUAAGUCUAUUUUGGAACUCUCUAAGAACGUAGCAAGGGACGUGGUCCCGGAAAGUCUGCAUAUGAGAAAAGGACAAAAAGACAGCUGCCAAAAAACUGUCAAUUCGGAUGUGGUUGGUGCACAACUUUUAAUAACAGCACACUCUCAACCAAUAGACUCGUCCCAAUGGUUUGUAUCCACUUUGAUAUAGUCUCUUCUCUAACAAUACAAACAUAAGUUUUGACAAAUAAAGUUUUGGAUUUCAGAAAAUUCUAAAGCUCAAAAAGCAAAGGCCAUCUUCAAGAAGGAUCAUCCUAAGAGCAACAGGGACCUGAUAGAGUUGCAAGCUACUUAGUUGUGUUAGGAUUAUAUCUUCCAUGCUUACAUUGUAAAUUUGUUCCUAAUAUAUAAAGGAUUCAAAUAUUUGUUUCGUGUUUGUAAAAGUCUAAAUCAAUUAGGGUUAACUGAUUUAGUGGGCAACAUUGUUUUGUUGCUUAGUAAAAUUCUAAGUCAUCUAGAUUUAGAUGGUUUAGUGGGAGGUGUGGUAUCCGCUUAGUCAAAUCCUAAGUCAUCCGAAACGUGGUAAUUUAGUGGGCAACUUGCGUGUUGCUUAGUUGAAUCCUAAAUUGUCUAGUGGUGAUAACUUAGUGGGUAGAGUGUCAUCUGCUUAGGCUCUUCAAGCAAUAGGGUUGUUGCUUGGUCGUGAGAUUAAUAAAUUUUUCUCACAUUGUUGUAACUAGGUUUCACUUUUUCUUGUGAAGAUUAGUGAAGACAGUUGAAAAUCCUGUGCAACAGGUUAUGAUUUUACUCUCUUGAGUAAGGAGAUUUCCACGUAAACUGCAUGUGUUGUGUUGUCCGUUGACUGAUAGUGGAAGAACUCAUUCCAACAAUUGGUAUCAGAGGAGGUUCUCUCUAGAUGGUUAACACCAAGUGAGAUUCAUAUGAAAAGAUGGUUGCUCCACUCAACGGAAAUCAAGAAGUAUCAAAGAAGGAGUUGAAAAAAAAGAAUUCUCUAGCUAUCAAGAUGAUAUCUGGUAAAAUUUUUGAUGAAUAUAAGGACAUGACAUGCCUCACGAGAAGGUUUCAAAAAUGGGAAAGGAAAGAUAGAGGUUUACGAAAGGUAGAAAACUCAAAUAGAGUUGCAAAUGCAAACCAGCAGUGCCACAAGUGCAAAGAUUUAGGGCAUUUCACCAGAGAUUUCCCCAUGCAUAAGGUUGAAGUAAAAAAUUAUCAAAGACCUGGAGGAGAGAAAGGCAGAAAAAGGGACCCAGUUCCUGAUAAAAACAAACAAGAAAAGUUGCAGCUGGCUACAUUAUGAAGAAAGCUUUUGAUGUUUGGGGAGACUCCUCAAUUGAGUCAAAUGAAUCAGAAUGUCCUGUAGGUGUAUCUAGGCAAGCUGUUAAAGACGAUGAAAAUGUGUUUGAUGGCAUGUUCACAUUCAUGGCGAAAUCUGAUGACGAGGAUGAUGAAGAAAAGGUAACUCUCCUUGAUCUUAAACAAAACUUGAGUGUCUUCAAUGAUAAAAGGUUGAGGAAUCUAGCCGCUGUGUUGAUUGACUCUAUCAUUGAGUUUAAAACUGAAAAUGAUUUGAUGAAUAACAACCUAGAUAUCCUUCAUGAAGAAAAGGUAGUCGUGGUGGAUCAAAUGUCUGUUGUGGAAGAACAAUUGAUAGUUCUAGAAGCUGAAAAUCUAGAACUAAGUAAGAUAAAAAAGGUGAUUACUACAACUUCUAAGAGAAAGAACGAGGCGAGCAACUUGCAGCUGGAGCUUGAAAAUAAGUUACACAGCGCUGAAUUGAAUAUGAACUUGACUUUCAUUAGAAAUCUUGUGAUGGAGAGGGACCUGGUCCGUAUAAUAGAGGAAUUGAACAAAUCCCUCAAAUGGAACACUUCCUACAAAAUGCUUAUGAAUGUUAUUAGUAAGGGUAACAAUAAUAUAAGAGGGUUGGGUUGUGAUAAGACAUAUUACCCAUACAAUCCUCACACAAAAAAAUGUUGUUGUUGAUAAUCUACUAUGUUUGCAUUGCGACGAGAUGGUCAAUUGAAGAAAGAGUGUCCAGCUUGGAAGAGAUCUCAAGUAAGUUUCUCAAACUAUUCUCAAUAGAAGAACAGGCAGAAAAAGGGACCUGGUUGUGCAUCUGGUCCUAAGUUGAAGAAAAUCAAUCUUCCUCUAUGGACAAUUAAAUCCUUUAUCACUCCAUUAUCUGGUUACUGGGAACUCCCACUAAAGUGCGUUCCCAAGGCUCACAAGUGAUAAGGUAUGCAGGUUAGAGAAAGUAAUAACAGUCCGUGUAAGUUCAUGAAUAGUGGAUGCUCAAAGCACUUGACUGGGAAGACUGAAAACUUCCUCUCUCAAGUCACUUCAAGAUGGAGGUGUCUUAUUUUGCGAUGGCAAAAAAGUGUAUAUUCUUGGUGCAUGCGUGAUUAGAAAAUCUAUGGAACAUACCAUUAAGGAUGUGUACUAUGUACGCGUACAAUCUUUCAAGUGUUUCAUAGAUUUGUUAUGAACUAAGUUGAGUUAAGUUCUUAUGAGAUAAAUGGGUGGUCACAACUUGAUUUCUCGGAUGAUUAUGCUAACAAGAAGGAGAUGUAAGAGCAUGUAUUAUUGAUCUAAACACUGCUUGUUACAACAGUCUCACUUCCUUUGAUACUCAAGGUGAGAAUAUGGUUUCAUGGGGCAUGAGACUUUGCGAGUUGAUCUCUUCUCUCCAAACAAACUUGUGUCAAGGGACUUGGUCUAUGGUCUGCUCAAAAUAAAAAUUCUAGAUAACAGUUUGUGAUGCUUGUGCUAAAAAGAAACAUAUAAGGCCAUAAUUCAGGUUGAAUAAGAAGAUCUUUAAUUUUCCAAAUGAAUUCUCUGUUGAAAUUGUGAAUACCAUAUGUUAUGUGACCUAAAAGGUGAUAUUGAGAAGUUUGAUCUCAAUAGUUAUGAAAGAAUGAUUGUGAGAUAUUCUUCCUGUAACAAGGCUUAUGAUAUACCGUGGUUUCACGGUAUUUUUAAUGCCUUUUCCUUAAGUUUAGUGUGUGUCCAAAAGCCUUUUUGUAUUAAUUUUUAUAUAAGUUUCUCUUUAUUUGCAGGAAAUCUGUCUAAAGAUGAACGCGGAAGUUUUUGAGCAAGAAAUGCAGAAAAGUACCACCUACGAAGCUUGUGAGGGUCUGUCGUGCCUGUGACGGUCCGUAGGUGGCAUCGUAGUGAAGCUGUUGAAGGAAGAUGGGGAAGUCUGACCAAGUGUGGGGUUACAAAGUGCGUGACGGACCGUCGUAGCCAUGACGGUCUGUCCCUGCUGGUUCAUCGUGAUGAUCAGAGAAGUAGUCCUAGUACCCAAAUUCCAAAGAGUUUAAGUGUUAUGGAACAAAGACCCUCUAUAGACCGUUGUGCCUGUGACGAUCCGUCAUACCUGCCGUCGAGGGUAAAAAAGAUAGCAGCAGAAGAAUUUGCAAAGUAUGGGAUGACGGAGUCCAUGACGGCCCGUCAUGACCACGACGACCCGUCGCGAGAUCCGUUGACCCAACCGCGUUUUUACAGAUUUCCAACAAUUAGAGUCCUUUUUUAUUAGGUUUUUGUUUUUUUAUAAAUAGUUCAAAAAACCUCAUUUUUGGGGUUAGACUCUCAUACGGUUAAACUCUUGGUUAUUAGACACUUUUAUGUUAUAUUCUUUGUGAGGAGAUUAUUUUGAUUAUUACACUUUGGAUUGUAACACUUUUCUCUGGAGUUGAUUGUUAGUGAUUUUGUCGAUUAA